ensembl:snRNA U6 U6 spliceosomal RNA
GUGUUCGCUUCAGCAGCACAUACACUAACGCUGGAAUGAAUCAGAGAGGAUUAGCAUGGCCCCUGUGCAUGGAAUAUGUGCAAAUUCAUGAAGCCUUCCACAUCUAU